rnacentral:rRNA from 1 species
AACGAACGCUGGCGGCAGGCCUAACACAUGCAAGUCGAACGAAGUCUUCGGACUUAGUGGCGCACGGGUGAGUAACACGUGGGAAUAUACCUUACGCUGGGGGAUAACAUCGGGAAACUGAUGCUAAUACCGCAUACGCCCUUCGGGGGAAAGAUUUAUCGGCGAAAGAUUAGCCCGCGUCCGAUUAGCUAGUUGGUGAGGUAAUGGCUCACCAAGGCUCCGAUCGGUAGCUGGUCUGAGAGGAUGACCAGCCACACUGGGACGGAGACACGGCCCAGACUCCUACGGGAGGCAGCAGUGGGGAAUAUUGGACAAUGGGCGCAAGCCUGAUCCAGCCAUGCCGCGUGAGUGAUGAAGGCCUUAGGGUUGUAAAGCUCUUUCACCCACGACGAUGAUGACGGUAGUGGGAGAAGAAGCCCCGGCUAACUUCGUG